GAGACAUUAUAGGUUGAUAAAGAUGUUGUCCAAGCCUUAAAUAUAACAUUUUUCCUAUUCCAAAAUCAAAUUAACUGACAACAAGGACAAACCAGAUGUUGAUCUAUAGGAACAAGACCUAAAUGGCAAAAUUUUAGUCACAGUCCAUCAUUCUGCAGCACACACCAAUCCAGAAUCACUUCUAAAGUGUCUUCUCACUCACAGGGGAGAUAAAAUAAAUUGAAUAUUUGAAUGUUGACUUCGUAAGUUACAAGUAGAAAAAUGGCAUGUGAUUUAAAAUUCUGCUUUCAUAAAAAUACACAAUACAUGCAUAAAUAUAUAGUUAAUUAUUUUCAUUCUUUUCACAUUCUGCACUUCCUUCCAGCAUUCAGUUCGGCUCUUUAAUGAUAAAUAAGGGGUAUGAAAUGCAAAUGGUGUCCAGCCUCCAACUGUAAUAUUGUAAAAUAAGGAACAGAUUUCAGGAAACUGUCAGUAUUGUGGAAUCUUCUGCUCAUAUAUGGUGCUUUGCAUAGACAGUGUCAGUGAUCUGAGAGUGUUUAUAGGUCUGUUUAACUCUUCAUUGAGCUUCUCUUCAUGACAACAGAUCUAACAGCCAAAAUGACUUUGAUCUCCUUUAUCAUUUGGACACUCUACAGCAUGCAAGGUUGUUUAGGACAAAUUGUUGUGACUCAGUCUGAGGUUAAAUCAGUCCAGCCUGGUCAAACCGUCUCUAUUGACUGUAAAGUUGAUACUGUCGUUCACAAAAAUGAGCAAGGCCAGUACUCUAAAGGGCGUUAUUUUGUGUCUUGGUACAGCCAAAAGCCUGAAGAGGCUCCAAGACUCUUGAUCUAUUAUACAAAUGAAAGAAACUCAGGAAUUCCAUCAAGAUUCAGUGGCAGUGGACAAGGAAACGGUCUUGAUUUCACUCUGACCAUCAGUGACGCCCAGCUUGAAGAUGCAGGAGAUUAUUACUGUCUGAGUCUACAUAAGAUCAGUGACAACUGGGUGUUCACACAGUGAAAAGAUCCCGUACAAAAACCUCCAUUG